AUAUCAAUAAGCGGAGGAAAAGAAACCAACAGGGAUUACCCUAGUAACGGCGAGUGAAGCGGUAACAGCUCAAAUUUAAAAUCUGGCCUUCACGGGUCCGAGUUGUAAUUUGUAGAGGAUGUUUCGGACAAGGCUGUGGUUUAAGUUUCUUGGAACAGAACGUCACAGAGGGUGAGAGUCCCGUCUAGAACCAACGGCCGCGUCUAUGUGAAAUUCCUUCGACGAGUCGAGUUGUUUGGGAAUGCAGCUCAAAAUGGGUGGUAAAUUUCAUCUAAAGCUAAAUAUUGGCCAGAGACCGAUAGCGCACAAGUAGAGUGAUCGAAAGAUGAAAAGUACUUUGAAAAGAGAGUUAAACAGUAU
rnacentral:rRNA from 1 species